CACCCUGGUGAAUUGCUUCCUUCCUCUGUUGGCUUUGUGAUGCUAGGCUUUUUGAUUGUUUUUUUUUUUUUUGUAUCCCUCCAUACUGAGCUGUAGCCGAGUGGCAUCAACAGCUAAACAAUGGGGACUUGUGAUUUUCUAAUUAACAUCUGGAAAAUGGCAAAGAAAAAGCUGUUUACGAUUUCGGAGGCCAGCACACUGCAGGGACAAACAGGCAGAUUAGAUAGCUUUGGCGAGCAGAACACACAGAGCGCCACAGAGAGAAACAGAGGGAACAGGAGAUAAAAAGGAGCAAAAAAGAGAGAAAAGGAUUGAGAACAUCCGUCAUGGUCAUAAGGAGACUUUAAUUAACUGCUUAAUUUACACAAUUAUUCCUGCUGCAGAUUACAGUGACUUACGUAUCCUUACUUUUUAAGGGUUGCAGGAAGUUGGGAGUUCAGGAAUAGGUGCAAAACUGCAUUGAACCCAGCAUAUUACAAGGUUCACUCAUCCACAUCUGUGCUGCCUCACAUUGGACCAGUUGUCACCUGUCAGAAAUAUUCUGUCAUAUGUAAUG